CAUCUUAUAACGGUUACUGUUAAUGUAUCAGAAAUAGUUGCUUUUAUGUAUAACCAUAUGGACUUCAAAGCUGUUCACCAUUUCAAACAGUAAGAUCAACCCAUACCUAUCAGUAACAAUAUAUGAUACUGCUCUGAUAUUGUUAAAUUAUAUGGUAAUGGAUUUUGUUUAAAUUUGUGCAACACACUCACACAUUUGCAUUUGACAAUAUUGAACUACAUUUUAACAGUUCAACAAAUAGUUACAUUUUGUUGGUAUUUGUAGGCGAGGCGACACUUAAUCUAGCGUUGAGCGUAGAAAAAAAUCUCCGUCAGAUUGCCGUCGAAGGAAAACUGUCAAGCUGUAUUGUUUACUUCUUAUUCCACUGUUAAAACUGUUCAAAGCUUGCAAUUAAUUUAUAAAAGUCGAGUUAGAGUGAAAUUAAGUUUACAGAACAGCAAUGCACAUAAAAAAGGACAACUUCGAUGGACCCAGAACUGCGCACCAAAAUCGAUACCGCUUGCCGGAUGGAGGAGGAAUAAUUCCUAUUUCACAAUUUCACAUUAUUUUCACAACCUUCAAGCUCGAUUUACUCGAAAUGUGUGAAUUGUUAGAUAGGCCGUUUUGAAAAGUUACGCGAGAAUUCAUCAAUCUGUGCAACGAAAAAGUAGCCAAGAAGCGGCAUGAGAUGACCGGCUCUACAUGGACAACGGUUUGCUGAUGUCAUCAGCAACAUCCAGAAGAACUUCCAGGAACUGCCCCGCUUUGAACACAUUAUGAACACCCUGGUCACUCAGCCGAUCAUUGGCGACGCUGUGUCCUCGCAGCUGACGUUCAUCAUCAAGGUUUCGGGAACGGUCAUCUACCAGGACAAUUCUACCAAACCCUUCCAGAAGACAUUCACGGUUACAGCCCAGGGCGACAAGUGGAAGAUUGCGAGUGAUUGCAGCGCUGCUUCCGGUUGUUGGAUGCUAUCUUUUUAGGGAAUCGAUCAAUACAUGGAUGCAUUGGAAAGCGAUA